rnacentral:rRNA from 1 species
CCCAAUAGUCAUACCGCCCUAAACAUGCCCCAUCUCAUCUGAUCUUAGAAGCUAAGCAAGGUUGGGCCUGGUUAGCACUGGGAUGGGAGACCUCCUGGGAAUACUGGGGCACAGUUACUC